CAGGAAGUGCAACCAAAAAGCAGGAAGUGGGGAAGACAUACAACAACCCACACAGGAGCCAGUUACGAGCCAAUCACCAGCUAGAGGGGAACUCACAAGAGCUUGUCAACCCAUUGGAAAUCACAAGAGGUUUUGAGCUGACCCGGUAGUGGAGGUUUGGUGAUUUCAAACAGGACUGUCCCCGUCUCCAUAUCACGGAUUUUAAAUCUGGUGAAGUCGAUCAUGUGGACGUUUUCCUCUGGAGAACAAAGAUAGUCUGAAACACAAAGGAAAUAAGACCGCAUUCACAUACACUAGAAUAAUGUAAUGCAGAGUGUUGAUUGUUCCCAAUUAACACAAAAGAUGUAAACAGGACACAUGUCACCCCACACAUAUUGACUGUUUUUCUGAUCCACACAGGAAAAAAAAAUCUAGAAUGAACUUCUUUGACAACCACACUAUGUGUGUAUACAUGUGUGUGAGAUGCUACUUUGUCAACAUGGGAGGAGGAUUAAAUGUAAGAGGCUUAUUGUGUUUUACCAUCACAUGGACUGACCAGUGACACACACACACACACACACACACCUUGGAAAGUCUAUGUUACCAGUCCAAUGUUACGUAAUCCAUUUGACCACAUGAAUAAUUAAACACACAACACUUAAAGACAUACAAAACACAAGUAUAACACACAGGGAAGCAACAGUGUGUGUACACCUGUGUGUACAUACACACAUUGCAUGGUCUACUGUUUGUGGGUGGGUUAGAGAGCAGAUGGCCCACAUAGGAUUUUGCCACCUGCUUGAGGAUAUUUAUAGAGGUUUUAAUAAAGUAAAGCACACUAUUCUGUAGCUAUUUAGAGCCAGCUAUUUAAAGGUAGCUAUUUUGGCUAAUACAUUGAACAUGUGUGUUUGCAUGCCACUGCAUUAGCAGGAAUUGCAAUAUUUUAUGUUUAUAUAAUUUUAGUAUAAUUAGUAUAUAAUUAAUGCAUGUUUAUGAACUCCGCUUAAAAUAUACUGUAUUUCUUCCAAUGGAAUGUUGAUUUUUUCGUUUCUGCUCCUAAACACACAAGGUUUCUAUUAUUCUGGCCUUAAAAAAACUUUGUAAGAGGGUUAACAGAGGUCUCUCUUAAAUACAACACCCUCUUGCAACACUUUUGAAGGGGGGCAUGUGAGCAGCUUACCAGCAAAGAGACUCAGAG